AAACCCCUCAAAUAAUAGUUCACAUCUGUGUACCGGUUAUACAUUAAAUAGUACUACUGCAAAAUAUAGAGGCCAAUAUGAAUCAAAGAAUUAACUGGAGUCAAUGAUUAAAUGUAUCCCCACCCUCGAAAGUCACGCUGAUUAAAUGUUCGCACUUACUAUUUAACAGCUUGACAUCAACCAACGUCAAGGUGAAAUUAAACUGCUUUCGUAACAAUGUUUUGAAUGCUUAAAGCACUUUAACAAGUUCUUCACGUGUGCAUUGGAUUUCAACAUGGUUUCACCCUGCAUAUUUUCAAGGGACUCGGCUUACUUUCUGUCAUGGAUUUUCUCUCCUUCCCUGAAGGUUGCGAAAUAUUUCAGUCCGCCUGCUUCUCUGAGGAACAUGAUAUAUAACUGAACCGAAAGUCUCAUAUCCCAACAUCACUCGAAGCGGAAUCCUCUUAACUGCAAGGAACAGCAGAAGUCAAUCGCAGGCUGGACCUUCGUGCCUGCACAGCCAACGGCCGGUGUUUCAACUUAUAAUAUUGAAUUCCAUAAUUUUAAUUACUGUUUUUAGGCAUGAUAAGGAGCUAGAAGAACAAGGGUCAAAUCAAGACCUUCAAGAGUGAAGUUGGCUUCCUCCUCUGUGAAGUACAAUCUACAGCUGGUGCCUCCGAAGACAACUUUUCACGACAUUCUUAUUGGCACCUGCCCCUUUUUACUGGGCCAAGGACAAAGCAAAGUGGCAUGCGAAGCCUAGUUCAUGAAUAAAUCGAGGUGAGCUGGAGAAAGUGCUCCCUGUGAUUUGCUUGUUGACAGCAAGCACUUAAACAGGCCUACAGGACCAGCAACACUUGGCAGAGUUUAAUGACUCCAGCUUUGCAACCUGCUUCAUUUCAGCAGAAAACCCUUGCCAUUUUUUAAUAUUACUUCAAAAUCUAAAGACCUGUACCAACACAGAGCACGCCCUGUCUACCGUGUCGGGUAACUGAUGGCGCCCUUUCAUGCGCUGGGCGUACAAAUUGAAAACCUGCAUAUCAUGCUCAUCUGUUUAAAGAGGCUACCUCCUUGUAAAAUCUACAACACUCACAAGAAGAGAUAUGAACAUUUAAUUCACUUAAAGUUCCCCUUACAGUUUACAGGUUCAGUCAGCUACAUACAAUAGACAGUCAAGGUAAGACUUCUGCCACUUAAGUGAUUCUUUGUUAAGGCUUUUAAAGAGCAUUUUUGUAUAUUUGAACAAUAUUCACAUAUAGCCGACUGAAAACCUAAAAAUUGUGAUACGUCUAUACAAUGGAGUACAAAUGCAGUGUAGUCACUAACAGAGCAAGACAAGAUUUAGAAGAUUUUUCCAGACAUGUGGAGUGAUUAGAGCAAAAGCUGAUGCAGCCUCACUGGAAAGUAUAUAAAGCAAUGAGGGAAGCACUGAUUAGAUUCAUGAAGUAUAAGCUUCUGCAUAUACAUCCUGCCUAACUUGUUUUUUUGUUUUUGUUCGUUUAAUAAAUUCUAUUGAAUUACAUAGCUCUAAUAUUGUACCAAUCUAUUUCAUACGAACUUUAUCAUUCAACAGCAGUGGAAUAAUUUAAUUUUUAUAAUCUUAUAACACCUUUCAAAACUUUUUGUAUUAUGCCUGAUUACUCAAGACAAUGCCAGCAUAUGGGCAUAUUAUUUAUACACACCAUGUAUCUUCUGACAGCAUUCUGAUCUUACUAGAGAGAAAAGCCUUUCACAAAUACAUCAGCAAGAUGUACCAUUGCUUUCUCUGCAAUGGAUAUUACCUCGCCUUUGUUCUCUUACAUGGAGUCACUCUCUCUUACUUACACACACACACACACACACACACACACACACACACACACACACACACACACACACACACACACACACACACACACACACACACA